rnacentral:rRNA from 1 species
GUGGGGAAUUUUGGGCAAUGGGCGCAAGCCUGACCCAGCAACGCCGCGUGAAGGACGAAAUCCCUCCGGGAUGUAAACUUCGAAAGUCAGGAAAGAAAUCUCAGGGGAUAAUACCCCCUGAGGAUGACGGUACCUGAUGUAAGCCCCGGCUAACUACGUGCCAGCAGCCGCGGUAAUACGUAGGGGGCAAGCGUUGUUCGGAAUUACUGGGCGUAAAGGGCGCGUAGGCGGCACGGCAAGUCGGGAGUGAAAGGCCUGGGCUCAACCCAGGAACGGCUUUCGAGACUGCCGAGCUAGAGUGCGGAAGGGGCAACUGGAAUUCCCAGUGUAGCGGUGAAAUGCGUAGAUAUUGGGAAGAACACCGGAGGCGAAGGCGGGUUGCUGGGCCGACACUGACGCUGAGGCGCGAAAGCCAGGGGAGCAAACGGGAUUAGAAACCCCGGUAGUCC